rnacentral:rRNA from 1 species
GAAUCCCGUAUAUGGCACGGACUCCCGUUGCUCUGUGAUACACUCUCGACGAGUCGAGUUGUUUGGGAAUGCAGCUCUAAAUGGGUGGUAAAUGCCAUCUAAAGCUAAAUAUUGGCGAGAGACCGAUAGCGAACAAGUACCGUGAGGGAAAGAUGAAAAGCACUUUGGAAAGAGAGUGAAACAGUACGUGAAAUUGUUGAAAGGGAAACGCUUGAAGUCAGUCGCGCCGUUCGGGAUUCAGCCUUGCUUCUGCUCGGUUUACUUCCCGUAGGGUGGGUCAACAUCAGUUUCGAUCGGAGGAGAAAGGCUUGGGGAAGGUGGCAGCAUUCGUGCUGUGUUAUAGCCCCUCGUUGUAUACUUCGACUGGGACUGAGGACCGCAGCACGCCUUUGGCCGGGGUUCGCCCACGUACGUGCUUAGGAUGUUGGCAUAAUGGCUUUAAGCGACCCGUCUUGAAACACGGACCAAGGAGUCUAACAUGUGCGCGAGUGUUUGGGUGUUAAACUCGGACGCGAAAUGAAAGUGAAAAGUUGGGAACACUUCUGUGUGCACCGACGCCCGGAGCUGACCUUCUGUGACGCAUCUGCGGUAGAGCGUAUAUGUUGGGACCCGAAAGAUGGUGAACUAUGCCUGAAUAGGGUGAAGCCAGAGGAAACUCUGGUGGAGGCUCGUAGCGAUUCUGACGUGCAAAUCGAUCGUCAAAUUUGGGUAUAGGGGCGAAAGACUAAUCGAACCAUCUAGUAGCUGGUUCCUG